rnacentral:rRNA from 1 species
AAUGAACGUUGGCGGCGUGGAUUAGGCAUGCGAGUCGUGCGAGAACCGUAGCAAUACGGGGACAGCGGCGAAAGGGAGAGGAACACGUGGAUACCUACCCUCCAGGUUCAGGAUAGCUAUGGGAAACUAUAGGUAAUACUGAAUAAUAUCUCCGGAUCAAAGGUGUGAUUCCGCCGGAGGAGGGGUCCGCGUCCUAUUAGCUAGUUGGUGAGGUAAUGGCUCACCAAGGCGAAGAUGGGUACGGGAUGUGAGAGCAUGAUCCCGCUCAUUGGGACUGAGACACUGCCCAGACACCUACGGGUGGCUGCAGUCGAGAAUCUUCGGGCAAUGGGGGAAACCCUGACCGAGCGACGCCGCGUGUGAGAUGAAGGCCUUC